rnacentral:rRNA from 1 species
CCUACGGGUGGCAACAGUGAGGAAUAUUGGUCAAUGGACGAGAGUCUGAACCAGCCAAGUAGCGUGAAGGAUGACUGCCCUAUGGGUUGUAAACUUCUUUUAUAUGGGAAUAAAACGUUCCACGUGUGGGAUUUUGUAUGUACCAUAUGAAUAAGGAUCGGCUAACUCCGUGCCAGCAGCCGCGGUAAUACGGAGGAUCCGAGCGUUAUCCGGAUUUAUUGGGUUUAAAGGGAGCGUAGGUGGAUUGUUAAGUCAGUUGUGAAAGUUUGCGGCUCAACCGUAAAAUUGCAGUUGAAACUGGCAGUCUUGAGUACAGUAGAGGUGGGCGGAAUUCGUGGUGUAGCGGUGAAAUGCUUAGAUAUCACGAAGAACUCCGAUUGCGAAGGCAGUUCACUGGACUGCAACUGACACUGAGGCUCGAAAGUGUGGGUAUCAAACAGGAUUAGAUACCCCUGUAGUC